UGCCGGAUCGUCACAUUUAUUCAUUUAUUCUCCUGUUUUUUCUGAUAAUUACUGAGUGGCUUACUUAGACGCUAGGGAAGAGCGGAUCGCCUGUUUGAAUAGGCGUUUGUAAAACUCCCUUAUGUAUGGGGCGCAGUUUACAGCGUUCGCAUUUGUAAUACAUUUCAUUGAUGUCCGCAGUAAAUUCCUAGUCUCCCAUUAUGUUGGUCCCGGUCCUUCUUUGUAGGUGCCUGGGGACGGACUGAGGAACCUGACCUCUGGAUGCCGACCGAGGGGGAGGGGUCUGAACUUGCACACACCCGGGUCUCUCCGCUCCCUGCUCCGCUCCAGCUGCCGGCCGGUCACUGCAGGCUGCGACGGAAACCUAAGGUCGUGCGGAACUUUGGCAACUUUCAGAUACCUGCGUCCCAGAGUUCUGUAACUCACAUUCAUCCAGCGCUCACCCUAAGCCAGCAACCCUGCAGCUGAAGGCAUGGCACCCAACACGUGGGAGGCUGAGGCAGGAGGAUUGCUGCAAGAUCAACCAGGGCUGCAAAGAUGGCUUCACAGUGAACGGCCUUGGAACCCACAGAAAAUGACUCCCUCCGGAGAGAAGAGCAGGUGUGCUCACUGCCCAGGAUAAGAGCCAGCUUCCCCAGGUCCAGGCUUCCUUUCCUGUAGAGCAGCCCCACCCAGUGAUCUGUAUUAUCUGGCCUUCUUCGUAGCGGCUGUGAAAUUAGACUUUGGGUCAGCGGGUGGGGAAAACAUAACAGUGACACCCUGGUUACUCCUCCUGUGAAUGGUUCAUUGUCCUUUAUAUUUAACACAGAUGCUUUAGUGUCUAAUACUUGUGUGAUAAAAUCAGUUGGUGAGCUUGCUAACUUGGAAAUAAAAGGAAGUCGCAAACUUUUCAUGUUUUGGAGAUUUUUGGCAAUAGAGAUAGGGUACUGACAGAGACACAGCUAUCUGGAAGCAGAAAAAUGAAGGUUGUGUCAACCAAUAGAAUUUGACAGAGAGCCAGGUAUGGUGGCGCAUACCUGUAAUCCCAGAACUCCAGAGGCUGAGACAGGAGGAUCGCUGUG